rnacentral:rRNA from 1 species
CGGGGCAACCUGGCGGCGAGUGGCGAACGGGUGAGUAAUAUAUCGGAACGUACCCAGAAGUGGGGGAUAACGUAGCGAAAGUUACGCUAAUACCGCAUACGAUCUACGGAUGAAAGUGGGGGACCUUCGGGCCUCAUGCUUGUGGAGCGGCCGAUAUCUGAUUAGCUAGUUGGUGAGGUAAAGGCUCACCAAGGCGACGAUCAGUAGCUGGUCUGAGAGGACGACCAGCCACACUGGGACUGAGACACGGCCCAGACUCCUACGGGAGGCAGCAGUGGGGAAUUUUGGACAAUGGGCGCAAGCCUGAUCCAGCAAUGCCGCGUGAGUGAAGAAGGCCUUCGGGUUGUAAAGCUCUUUUGUCAGGGAAGAAACGGCUCAGGCUAAUAUCUUGGGCUAAUGACGGUACCUGAAGAAUAAGCACCGGCUAACUACGUGCCAGCAGCCGCGGUAAUACGUAGGGUGCAAGCGUUAAUCGGAAUUACUGGGCGUAAAGCGUGCGCAGGCGGUUUUGUAAGUCUGACGUGAAAUCCCCGGGCUCAACCUGGGAAUUGCGUUGGAGACUGCAAGGCUGGAGUCUGGCAGAGGGGGGUAGAAUUCCACGUGUAGCAGUGAAAUGCGUAGAGAUGUGGAGGAACACCGAUGGCGAAGGCAGCCCCCUGGGUCAAGACUGACGCUCAUGCACGAAAGCGUGGGAGCAAACAGGAUUAGAUACCCUGGUAGUCCACGCCCUAAACGAUGUCUACUAGUUGUCG